ACAUUAUUUGUGACGUAACAAUAAAAUGUGCUACAGUACCAAAAUCCAAAUUUUUUCACCAACUAAACACACCCUCAAUGUCAUGAUUUCAUCGAUGCGGGAAUAGAGUGGGUGUCGGUUCCAUCGGCAAGCUCUGAGCAGUGCGGAUUUCUAGAGGGGAGUCAACUAAAAUUGAGUGGCAUUUCAUCACAUUCUGCACAUAUCUUUAGCAGAAACGUUUGCAAUCUCUUUAGGGGGGAGAGGUUUGUCGCUUGAGCCGGCCUGCUGCUACUACAAGGAUUAUGCUUAUUCUACAGAACUCUUAAUUUUUGGUGCCGGAUGAGCUCCUCGAAGUAUUAAUGGACCAUUUAUGGAUUUAUGUCAUGUAGUCAAUCAAAUACUUGCUUCAUGUAUAUUUGACUGAAUACUUAGCUUUGUUAGUUGUCACUACAAGUUUCCAUUAUUUUUUCUACCUUAUUGAGAGCACUAAUGCAUGUCUGUGUAUACAAUUAUGUGGCUUUGUUCAUAUACAAGUAAUAGUGGGGUAAUGAUCUUAAGUGCAUGUUUGUUAUUAUUAUCAAGCAAGGGGUAUGGACCUUGGCGCAGUGUCAACUUUGUAUGUGGCUUUCAGAUACAUUUGAGAUGGAUCAUGGAUCCUGGCAGCAAUAAUACUGCAAGACGGUGAGCCACUGCCAGGCUUCCUGAAGAUGUAGAUCGUCCUCACAUGAGGACGAUGAUGACUACGGCCUCAAUGUGGCACCAUGACCGCCAGGGGCUCAAUGGGAUCGUGUUGCUGUUGCAUGCGGCUGCUAUGGUGAUGUAUUGCUAGUGUUUGAGGCCAUCAUGAUCAAUUCAUCCUCUCGCCAUGCGAACUGGUUGGAGUUCACCCACUACCAAGAGUACAGCUACCUUAUCAGGGCGCAGGAAUCCUAUGUCUACCAAGGCUUUCAGGUCUGCCCAAAGAAGUUUGAAAUGAUGGAGAACAUGCUAAACCUAUCCGUGAAUCCCAUGAAGUGAGAUCAUUCAGUAAGGCUGCUACAAAUUUGUUUCAGGGCAGCCCUGAAGUGAGAUCAUUAUGCGCAGGAAACGUCAUAAAAAAACUGCUCAUCUUUUUAUGUUCUGUUUUUCAAGAUAUUCUUCUGACAAAUAGGUCGUACAAAGUAUGCUACAAAGUUAUAUCGGCAUGUUUUUUUUGUUAUAAUUUGUAUCACAAAACUUAUGAAUCAAAGUUGUGUUAGAAGUUUCGGUGGAAGUUAUGUUGAAAGUUAUCCUUUAGUAAGGAUGCUGGAAAAGUUAUGCUUAAAAUUUAUACGUGUCAUGUUACAAAAUUAUCAUAUAAAAAGUUGGUUGAAAAAGUUGUAUUUUUU